AUACGGAGGGUGCAAGCGUUACUCGGAAUCACUGGGCGUAAAGCGCGCGCAGGCGGCUAUUUAAGUUGGAUGUGAAAGCCUACGGCUCAACCGUAGAACUGCAUCCAAAACUAUUUAGCUAGAGUGUGGGAGAGGAAGAUGGAAUUAGUUGUGUAGGGGUAAAAUCCGUAGAGAUAACUAGGAAUACCAAAAGCGAAGGCAAUCUUCUGGAACACUACUGACGCUAAGGCGUGAAAGCGUGGGGAGCAAACAGGAUUAGAAACCCUAGUAGUCC
rnacentral:rRNA from 1 species